GUCCUGUUACGUCUGCGCGCUUCAGAUGGGACAUCCGGGUUAGAGCUUGUGCUUGCUCUUCUUACUGCUGUGCUGUGCUGAGCCGAACAGGUCUGGAACAUGCUGACUUUUUACAUGAAGUUUUUCGCAUUGGAGCUGCGUUUAUUUUCAAAGUUAUCAGCAGCGAAUUUACCAUGAACAGGCAUCAAAUGGAUCUUUCAGGAUAACUUAUCCAAAGGUCAUAAAGGGAACGCUUCAGCUGCUUAGGAGAGGACAGUCAUCAAAGAUGUGUUGAUGUAAAGCUGGACUACAAGAUGUACAGAUCUUGAAGAUAUUACAAAAAAUUAGCAGCUGCAGCUGCAGACAGAGUUCCAGUGGGAUUAAAGACAACCAUUUAAACUUAAACAUUGUUUUAUUAAGAUUAAAAAUAGUUUUGGGAAAAAAAAACAUUGUCAGGUUGUGUUUAAUCUGUAGGAUUUUUUUCUCAAAUUGUCCAGAUAAAUCUGCUCCUCCUGGAGGAAUUCAGUCUCCUGUGGGAAGGAAAAUGGUUUUUUUAAUGGAAAUAUGAAUUCAUACUUGUACAUUACUUUUCAAUUCUAAAGCCACAUUUAAAAUAAAGAUCGAGUGAAAACCA